CCUACGGGAGGCUGCAGUGGGGAAUAUUGGGCAAUGGGCGCAAGCCUGACCCAGCAACGCCGCGUGAAGGAAGAAGGCUUUCGGGUUGUAAACUUCUUUUAUCAGGGACGAAGCAAGUGACUGUACCUGAUGAAUACUCCACUGCUAACUACGUGCCAGCAGCCGCGGUAAUACGUAGGUGGCAAGCGUUAUCCGGAUUUAAUGGGUGUAAAGGGCGUGUAGGCGGGAGUGCAAGUCAGAUGUUAAAACUAUGGGCUCAACCCAUAGACUGCAUUGGAACCUGUACUUCUUGAGUGGUGGAGAGGCAAGCGGAAUUCCGGGUGGAGCGGUGAAAUGCGUAGAUAUACGGAGGAACACCAGUGGCGAAGGCGGAUUGCUGGACAGUAACUGACGCUGAGGCGCGAAAGCGUGGGGAGCAAACAGGAUUAGAUACCCGGGUAGGC
rnacentral:rRNA from 1 species